rnacentral:snRNA from 1 species
GUGCUUGCUUCGGCAGCACAUAUACUACAAUUAGAAUGAUACAGAGAUUAGCAUGGCCCUAGCACAAGGAUGACAGGCAAAUUCAUGAAGCAUUCCAUUAAAAA